rnacentral:rRNA from 1 species
UACGUAGGGACCGAGCGUUGUCCGGAUUCAUUGGGCGUAAAGAGCUCGUAGGCGGCCACUCAAGUCGAAUGUGAAACCUCGAGGCUUAACCUCGAGCCUGCAUUUGAUACUGGCCGACUAGAGGACGGUAGAGGCAUGUGGAAUUCCGGGUGUAGUGGUGAAAUGCGUAGAGAUCCGGAGGAACACCAGUGGCGAAGGCGACACGCUGGGCCGUACCUGACGCUAAAGCGCGACAGCAUGGGGAGCAAACGGGG